GAGAUUACGACCACUGAAAAUAUCCAAAGCCUCGGUUAAAGUCGUCCAAUUUGUAUGCGGAUUCUCCACGAUAUCUGGACAAGAAAAUACUCUUCGAACUUGGAACACGAGAAAAAAUAAAUAAUUUGUUUUGCUCCAAAAUUUCAAAACUUCCAGUCAAGUGAACCUCUGCGGUAACAUUUUUUGAUCUCUUGAAGAUAUAAAUUCCUGACUGAUGUACUUCCUUGGAAUCAUAAUUCCAGCAAAAUCCGAAACGAUCCUUAAAUGGUGUUUUCUCUUGGAGAUUCGAGGAUCACGCAACUGUUCUUUGUAAUAUAUCGGAAGAUAUAUUUGUGGAGUAGUAUCGAUCGUUUCCAAGACUGGUUCCUUUUUGCUCGAUGACCAUGGAUCAACUGUAUCGUCCGUUUGCUCGCCCGUAGAGAAAUGCUUUUCGUUCGAGUCAAAGCGCGACGGUAUAAUAAGGUGGUAGGGAGGAAUCUCCUCGUAGUAAAGUAGUAAGACAACAAGAAGUUGUUGAUCGGUUAACACGACCGCAAGCUGGAAUUAUAAGAAAACCACAUGUUAAAUAGGUGUAUGGAAACGAAGAAUGAAUAAAAAUUGUUUAAAAUUCCCGGCAACAAAGUGGUUUUCCUUGAAUUGAUGUAACAGAGAAAUGAUGUAAAUAUUCGCCAAUAAAUAUCGAAUGACUGGUUUUUAUACGUCAUUAAAUAUUAGCUCGAUUGAUUACAAUAAUCAUAUUUAAAGUGAAUGAGAAUAAUGUAACGGUGAUUAAGGCAUGCUCUAGAAAAUUCCUAAUUUUCCACCUGAUUCAUCGUUUAUUCAGGAAUUACGUCAGAGUACAAGUUAGCUCAUGCGUUAGAAUGCAUCGCUGCAACUCGUCCAACUCGAGUUGAUCUUAUUGCAAGUCUCUGGAUAAACCACUUUCUCGCUUUCUACAGGAAAUGUUUGGCUCACUUGUUAAUCUAUGACACAAUAAAGCCAGAUGUACGUAGUUUGCAUAUUUGUGGUAGUUAACGAUCCACGUGCCUGACACAUCGUUCUAAAGGAAGUAGUUAAAAGUCAUUGUGAAGAACAUAAAUAAGACAGCCUCUUCUCCAUUGUGUGAUAAAAUUUUAAUUAUGUUGGUUAACGAGCUACUUCUAAACAAUGAUCUUUCUCCAUUUGUUUUUGUCCUUUUAAAAAAAUACAUUUUAAUGAGUUCUUAAUUCUAACUUUAAUGACUUCUUUGUAUUUCCUGCGAAUUUCACAUUAUGGAAAUAUCUAGGCCCGCUAAUCUCUAUGCUUUAACAAAUAAGUCGAAAUGGAAAAAAUUAAAAUGAUCGAAUUUAUUUUAUUA